CCUGUCAAUACUAAGAGGAAUAGUACGACACUCCGUCGAAGCAUGCCGAGACGCAAACAAGAUCGGCCGAAGAGGAUGAAAUGUUAGCUUCACCCGCAGAAUCGACAAAUUUGACAAUUUGUUUCGAGCAACAUAGGAACUUUUGAGGUCUAUACUAGCGAGUAAU
rnacentral:misc_RNA from 1 species